rnacentral:lncRNA from 1 species
UUUUUUUUUUUUUUUAGAUAAGCAGUUUCUAACCUUCCUCUUAAGGUAGGUGUCUACAAAAACUGUUUGCUGAACAAUGGACAGCUUUAUUUUGCUUUAUGUUUACUCAGAAUGAAAAUGCUAAGAGUUGAUGUAUAACUUUCAUCUAUUCUAACUUUCACCAAUAAAAAUUUAAGAACUCGGGAAUGAAUACCUGGAUAAGAACCAGGUUCAUAAAGAAGCACCUUCUGAACAACAGGCUUUUUAAAAUCUGUUCGUAUUUUAAGGGGAAAAUGUCCACUUUUUCUUUCUUCAGUUAUAAAGGGCAUCUCAUUUAAGUGGCCAAAAAUCAUUUCAUUACUAAUGCACAUCUGUUGGUAAUUCUUAGCGUCUUAUCUCUAACUGCCAACAUCCAUGCUGUUGGUUAUUCUGAUGUUUAUGCUAUGGGCCCUUGUAGGGAAAGGCUGCAUCACUCACAUCCACUAGAAUAAAACAACACAUAAGAAAACAUCCCUGAUAUUACAAAUUGAGUAUUAAGCAGAAAUUCUAAUGAAAGGCACACUAUUCCCUGAAUAACACUGCCUUUUGAUCACUCUUUAGGAAGCGUACUUAUUCCUUAUUGAUACAGAAAACCAAGUUGAUAAAAGUCACACUUGUUGUCACAGGCCGUGUUAUGGCAAAGCAGUCUGUAAGAAAACCAAAGCAGAUUCUGAUAGCCCACAUGCGAGGUGGGGGGUUUUUCCACUCAAGAUUAGGUGGAAAUACUGAAAAUAAAUACCAGCUAAAUAUAAUAACAGUUUUGUCUUGAGGAAUCACUUAAUUGCUAGGAUAGUAGCCUCAUUGUUGGUCUAAGAGUAAUCUGAAUCUGAUAUCUUUAUGAAGUAAUGUGUAAGUAGCUUGUUUUUAAAAGGAGAAAUAUUUUGGUUAAGCUUUUGGGGAUCAAGCUCAGAAUCAGUUUCAAAGAAUCAGCUAAUUAGGCAAUUUAAUUUACAAGAAAAUGAUUCCCCCACAGAGAAGGUUAAUGGAUUUUUCAGUGUAAAAUUAUUUGCCUAGAACUAAGUGCUGAGUAAGAUGCCAAAUAUAAAUGUGUAAUGAGUUAAUUACAAAACACAGAAGCUAACAAACUUACCCUGCAGGGACAUAAUGUAGUCUGAAGUACUGUUCAACCAGUAUGUAGAGGGAGCAAGAAUUCUUUCCCUGGUUCUCUUAAUGUACUGUAAUUCAAUAAAACACAUUUUAUCCUUGUUGAUAUGAAUAAUGUAGGUUGUAUGUAUGGCAGAAAUGAUCUAUUAGUGGGAUCAAAAAUAAAUUAAGGAAACUUUGGGUUUAAGAAAAUUGUAGGAGUUCCUGUCGUGGCGCAGUGGUUAACGAAUACGACUAGGAACCAUGAGGUUGCGGGUUCGGUCCCUGCCCUUGCUCAGUGGGUUAACGAUCCGGCAUUGCUGUGAGCUGUGGUGUAGGUUGCAGACGCGGCUCAGAUCCUGCGUUGUUGUGGGUCUGGUGUAGGCCGGUGGCUACAGCUCCGAUUCAACCCCUAGCCUGGGAACCUCCAUAUGCCGAGGGAGCGGCCCAAGAAAUAGCAACAACAACAACAACAACAAAGACAAAAGACAAAAAAAAAAAAAAAAAAAGAAAAUUGUAAGCAGUUUUAAUCUCUUAUUCAUAAAAUAAAGGAAUCCAAUGUGGUUUGUAGAAGACUGAAUAGGAAUGAAAAAUUUUAAAGGUGGUAUACGGCUAUCAGAAUUGAAGUCAGUGUGAGCUGUGACAGGAAAAUUCAAUUGACCUUUAAAUACCAUUUGUGGAUGGUAUCUGUCAUGCCUAUGACCUACAUUACUAUAAAUGUUUUCAAAUCCACAAAAACUUUGUGGCUCUCUAUAACAAACUCAAAGGCCAUAAGGUUGACACAACAGGAAGGACACAGACUGAUUACUGGCUUCCCCCGUCAGGUCGCUGCGGUCAUGGUCUGAUUCGCGCCAUUCUCCUCUCCAGCAGGUGUCUAAGACUGGGUCUGCUCUCAGUCAUUUCCACCACCUGUUCCUGCACCCGGAUCCUGGGGUCCGCUGCGAGGCUGACUAAGCCUCCCGACUUACCUGUCACACCUCAGUCUGUGAAACACAUUCAUAAUCUGCCUUUUAAGCAUACAGGGUUUUUACUGGUAGUAACUAUCAAAAUAUUCAUCAGGGAAAUUACAGAACACUUCAUCUUAAAAUAACCAGUAGUUUUAGCAUCUUUUUCUUUUUUAAAAUGCCUAUGCAUAAUAUCAAACAAUAAGGAAAAUGAAUAGACCCUCCUACCUUAAUUUUGCUUUCCCAAUUUAACUGUGGGUAGCAGUCUGGUUUAAUACAUAGAGAUAGAAAUAGACAUGUAUACAUUUACAUAUUUAUAGCUCAUAUAAAUCUAUACAGUUUUGACCUAAAUUUUCAAUAACUAGAGGACAUACAUAAAAUUUGUUACUUGUUUUUAAAAGCUAACAUUUUAAUGCUAUUUCCCUAUAUUUUCCUGUUAACUUUUUUUUUUAACUAUUUGGAUUUCAUUCAAAUCAGACAAUGUAUACCUCCACCAAUAUGGCUAGCUGAAUGUCACAAAAGGCUCUGUGCCACUCCAAAAUACAGAAAUGCUACACAAAGUAUAACAAAAUAAGAUAAAGACUCAGAUAUGGCAAGAAUGUUGGAACUAUCACACUAGAAAAUUAAAGCAACCAUGAUUAAUAUGCUCAGGGUUCUACUGGACAAAGAAGACAGCAUGUAAGAACAGAGGGGCAAUUUAAGCAGAGAUGAAAUUCUGGGAAAGAAUCAAAAAGUAAUGCUAGAGAUCAAAAACUGCAACAAAAACAAAGAAUGCCCUUGAUGGGCUCAUUAGUAGACUAGACAUGGCUAAUGAAAGAAACUCUGAGCUUGAAAAUAUGUUAAUAGAAACUUCCAAAACAGAAGAGCAAAGAGGAAAAAAAAACACAGAAUAUUCAAGAACUGUAGAACAACUACAGAAGAUAUACUAUAUGCAUAAUAGGAAAAGAAAGAGAGAAAGAAAUAGAAGAAAUAUUUGAAGCAAUAAUAACUAAGAAAUCCGCCCCCCAGAAAAUAUCAGCCACCAAAGCACAGGUAUAAGAAGCUCAGAGAACACCAAGCAGGAUAAAUGCAAACAAAACAAAACAAAAAAGCUCCCCCCCAAAAGCCCACAAACAAAACCCCCUACACUUAGGCAUAUCAUAUUCAAACUGCACAAAAUCGAAUAUAAAAAAACUUGAAAGAAGUCAGAGAUAAUAAGCACCUUACCUAUAGAAAAGCGAAGACGUAAAUUACUUCCAACUUCAGAAUGAAGUUAAAUGUUUCAAGUGUUGAGAGAACAAAGUGAACAAAGUGAAUGAAAUGUUUCAAGUGUUGAGAGAAAAGUUUCAUCAACCUAGAGUACUGAACCCUAUGAAGUUAUCCUUCAAAAAUGACUUUCUUGAAACAACAAAAAUUGAAAGUUAUGGCUAGCAGAUCUGUUUUGUUAGAAAGAGCAAAAGAAGUUCUGCAGAUAGAAAGAAAAUUUUGGAGGUAAAAGACCAGGAUCUAUUUUCUCCACACCCUCUUCAGCAUUUGUGAGAACACAAAUUGGUAUAACCACUAUGGAAAACAGUAUGGAGGUACCUCAGAAAACUAAACAUAGAACUACCAUAUGAUCCAGCAAUCUCACUCCUGGGCAUAUAUCUGGACAAAGCAUUCAUUCAAAAAGAUGCAUGCACCCCCCAUGUUCAUUGUAGCACUAUUCACAAGAGCCAAGACAUGGAAAUAACCUAAAUGUCCACUGACAGAUGAAUGUAUUGAUAAGAUGUGGUACAUAUAUACAAUGGAAUACUACUCAGCCAUAACAAAGGACAAAAUGAUGCCAUCUACAGCAAACAUGGAUGCAACUAGAAAUUCUCAUACUAAGUGAAAGAAUUCAGAAAGAGAAAGAAAAAUACCAUAUGAUAUCACUUCUAUGUGGGAUUUAAAAUAUGACACAAAUGAUCCUAUCUAAAAAAUAGAAACAGAUCAUGGACAUGGAGUGCAGACUUGUGCUUGCCAGGGGAGGAGGUGGAAUGGACAGGGAGUUUGGGGCUAGUUAUGUAUGCCUACAUAUAAAUGAAAUGAAUGACAGCAAUGAUACAAGGGCUGGGAUGGAGAAAUUAUGACUAUUUUGUUAUUACAGUGUACUUGUACCACCUCUGAAAUUGAAGGCUGUUAUUUGAAAGUGGACUUGGAUAUGUCAUAAAUGUAUAUUGCAGAUUCUAUGGCCAUCAGAAAUUUUUAAUAUAACUUAUAUGCGAAGAAAGGAGAGAAUAUAGAAUAACAUGGAAUGCUGAAUUAAAACUGAAAAGGGCAGAAAAAGAGUGGAAGACAAAUACAAAACAAAUAACAAGGCAAUGAGUAAAAACAACAACAAAUAUGGUAGAUACUAAUCCGACUACAUCAAUUACAUUUUAAACAUCAAUGGUCUAAAUGCACCAAUAAAAAGACAGAUAUUGUCAGAAUGAACCAAAACGCAAUAUUUAGCUAUAUAUUUCUACAAGAAACAUACUUAAAACAUAAAGACAUAU